CGGAAGCGCUGCUGACGAGGGGUUGGAGCGGGGCGCUGGCCGCUUUGCUGCUUGUCUCCUUUUUGGAAGACUUGGUCUGUUUGCUGAGCAAGCUAACCGUUUUCUGUGGCUUACUGACACCAGAUAGUUGUAGGCUCCGAUACGCUUAAGAUGUGUAAUAGAGCCUGCUGCUUCAGUGUAAAAGAUGCAACCUUAAGGCCUCUUCAGACAAAAAACACUUGACCCAACUGCUGCAGUAGCGAGAUCACUGCUGCCAUGGUUAGAAGAGGCAUAUAAUGCUUGCAAAAGGAAGGAGAGAGCCCAGGAAGCAGCAGUUGUCCUGCAUUGGGUUCUCCAAGACAACUCCAAAACAUUGCCAAUGGAUGAACUGGUGCAUGACUUGGCCUCAGCCUUAGAGCAGACAUCAGAACAAAACAAGCUGGAUGAGCUAUGGGAAGAGAUGGCCCUAAGCCCACGGCAGCAGCGGCGUCAGCUUCGCAAGAGACGGGGUCGUAAACGCCGCUCAGACUUCACACAUCAGGCAGAGCAUGCCUGCUGCUACAGUGAGGCCUCAGAGUCAAGCUUGGACGAAGCUGUCAAGGAUUGCCGUGAGGUGCUGACAGCCAAUUUCAGCGACUCUGAUGACACAGCAGUGGUCAAACGACACCCUGCUCUUAAUGCCACCCUGAGGAGCAAGCAACACUCAUGGCAUGAGUCAGACUCCUUUACAGAGAACGCGCCCUGUCGACCUCUCAGGCGCCGACGGAAAGUCAAACGUGUGACGUCGGAGGUGGCUGCCAGUCUCCAGCAAAAGCUUAGGGUGUCAGAGUGGAAUUACGAGAGGGGCUGCAGGUUCAAGUCAGCCAAGAAACAGCGUCUUUCGCGCUGGAAAGAAAAUGCCCCUUGGACAUCAUCCAGUCACAGCCUUUGUGAAUCAGGAGAGAACAGGCCCUUCCUCAGCAAAGGGGGAAGGAAGGAGCGGAUGGAGUGCGAAGCUGAUGAACAGAAACAGGGCUCAGAUGAAAACAUGUCAGAAUGUGAAACCAGCAGUGUAUGCAGCAGCAGUGAUACUGGCCUGUUUACCAAUGAUGAGGGCCGCCAAGGAGAUGAUGAGCAAAGUGAUUGGUUUUAUGAAGGAGAAUGUGUUCCAGGAUUCACUGUCCCCAACCUUCUUCCCAAGUGGGGAGCUGACCACCGAUCUGAAGUGGAGCGGAUUGACUCAGGCCUGGACAAGCUCUCGGAUUCCACGUUCCUUUUGCCCUCACGGCCAGCUCAGAGAGGAUUUCAUGCUCGCUUGAAUCGCCUUCCAGGAGCUGCUGCCCGUUGUCUCCGAAAAGGUCGGAGGAGGCUUGUUGGCAAGGAGACCUCCAUGAGCACUCUGGGCACCGAGAGGCUAGGUCAUAUUGUUAGUGAUCCACGCCAGAAAGAAAAGAACAAAGUGCCGGCUUCUGAUUUCCCACACACUGUGGCCUGUGCACAUGAGUUCAAUCCAUUAUCUCCUCUGUACUCUCUGGAUGUGCUUGCUGAUGCUUCCCACCGAAGAUGCUCACCAGCACACUGCACUGCCAGAUCAGACUUUGGUGCCCAGCUGGCUUUAUAGGCAAAGACGAGGAAGAAUUCUGCUUUCAGUAUUAAUUUUGUGAAGCCACCAUCAACAGCCUCAGGUAACACCUCAGGGCUUAGAGCCUUUUAUUUGGCCUAUGUUUGCUGGGAAUGUAGCAUCACAACAGCAACAGCAGAGUUGUGUGGAGUUUUAGUAAUAGUAUCCUUGUUAGAAGGCUGUCUCUGUUAAACAUUUGCUUUAACAUGAGGAUAAUAACAUCCCUUGUUUGUAUGACAGUAGAUUAAUGGCUGCCUCUCACUUUCACUACAUAAUCCAAGUGGUUUGCUUCCUCUAAGGAUACAGUUGAAAUAAAGAUUGUUAGUAGACAAGCUGGAUGAUGUAAGAUUACAGUGAGAGGCAUACACCCUCAAGUGUGCGAUGUGCCUCCAGCCUCCAAGAAGGAGGCAGCUCAGAGGAGACUGUCACAGCUCUGUAAUCUUCUCGGAGACCUCUGUUGUGAGUUUAAGAUAUUUUUUACUCUAAAAAGUGGAGAUCGGUUUAUAAUCCAGACUUUGCUUCACAGAUAGUGAAUGUUCCAGGGGCCCGAUGCUGUUCAAUAAGGGUCUUUGUGGGCUGGUGUCUGCUUGUGCUCCAUAUUGUCUCCCACAGAUCAUACUGUGAAUCCUAAUUUUCUGUUGAAACCCUGUGGUGGAUGUAAAAUAGUGGCAAGCUCCUGUGACCCUAAUGUCCAGCACAUGGUCACCUUGAACUGGAAGAGUAAGAUAGGAGUCCGGUGUCUGCAAUUACAGUUCAUUUAAAAAAAGAAAAAAGAGUCAUAGAACAAAUAAGUGGAAAAGGAAGGAAACAUUACUUCUGACACAUUAGAGACAGCAAUGAAUCUCAGCUUUCUGCAUAGCAAAGCAUGCUUUUUCUCCAGUGUGACCUGCAUGUAGAAUCAGGUACCUAAAGCAACAUGUUAAGAACAAGAGACAAAUCCAUAUAUCCUGGAUAAUUUCUUUAGCUUGUGAUUUCAAGCAAAAACAAACAAAACCCUAACACUGUCAGAAAGACACUGUAGACUUCUUUUUCAAUAUAAAAUCAUUUUUUCUAUACAUAUGUAAUUUGUAAUUCACUAACUCCCGGCUGUGAGGAGCUGCAGUGUUCGUUGGAUAUAUAGCAGCCGUGAAUGUAGCUGCGCUUUGGAUCCUGGUUUGUCUCUCCAGGUGUGUUCUACUUUUUCUCUUCCCAGGUUAGAAUUUCAGUCCUCUUUAGACUGUAAACUAGGUUUUCACAUUAGUCUCUGGUCACCUGGCAGAUCCAGCUGUGACUGGGCACUGCACCUUUUUUUUUUCUCUCGUGAUGAACCAGCUAUAGUCCAAAAGUAACCAGGGAAUUAGUUUCUGGUACUGUUUGUGCAACAUUGAAGAAAGUAUAGAAGCUUAGGAGAGAUUAAAAGCAGGUAAAGACCGAGUAAGUACCAUUCUAGUUUAUUGGUUUAGGCCCAGAUCUUUCAUCCCACAAAGCUCUGUGCCUCAGAAUUCUUCACAGAGGGGCUUGUGACUGCACAAAUGUGCAUUUUGUGUCAGUCUUUCCUCUCAGCCUUGUUCUGUUCUACUUCAGAGUAAUUUUUAAACUGUUCAGAAAAGUUGUUAAGAUUCAACUUUGGCAGAAAAGCUAAUUCAUGCUGACAGCCUGUCAGUGAGAUUUUCACAAUUUAUAGUUCAGCCUGUCCACUGCUAUGUUGUGUGCUGCGCAUGACCUGACUUUCCUGGUGGUGGUGUUCCUAGGAGUCUGCUGUUAAACUGGGAAUCACCAGUUCUAUUCUCUUACUGAUACAGCACAGGUAUGCAAGCUAGUGAUUAGAAAUUUAGAUUGAAAAGUGUGCUACCAACCAAAAAAAUUCAUAUUUUGUAUAUUAUACCUCAGAUACCCUUUCAGUCCACAUCUUAACGAGGGCUAUCAUCCCUGCAUACAUUCUUUUGCUCCUCUCUCUCCCAAGGUACCUACCACCUGGAGAUUCCACGAAUGCAGAUUUAUGGUGCCCGUAAAGUGCACCAGCCACUUGAAACUGACCCUUUUACCACCAGGUCAGUCAGAGCCAGUGAGUAAUCAAUAGGUUCCUGAUUUGCUAACUGAAGUGUGGGUGAUCAAUAAGGGAUAAACCUGAAUGAAAUACAUGUUACAGAGACAAUUUACGACCUCUGAGCCUCUGUGUUAGACGCAGGGCUGCUAGAUGCAGCAUCCUUGAUGUUAGUCUCCAGCUAGAGUAUGAUUUGCCUUUACUUUCAUAACAAGAAGGGAUUUUGAGAUUCUCAUUCAUAUUCUGUUCCCCCUCCACCCUCCCUGUAAUCAUGAGGUAAGGGUAGACAUGGUUUGAGCAUGGAGCUGAGAGCAGGAACUUUUAUUUGAAAUCCAGUUUGUAACAUUUGUGACCUGGGAAAGGUUACAUAAAGUCUCUUAGAAAUUGAUAGUGUAUACUUCUUUCCUGGUCUGUACUGAUUCUCCACCAAGGAUCAGAUGGCUAAUGUUGGUGUAAGUUCGUAAAAUUAAAAAGAGUACCUUAUUAUUAUGGAAUAAAAUGAGUUGGAUUAUUGUAUAUAAUUUUGUAGUCGUCUAGUUAGUAAUUUAAUACUGUGUCACUGAUGCAAAAUAAAAAACUGAAGUUCCACUUGAUUGAGGCUAUCUUUUCCUUGGGCUAUGUGUGUGCCUAGGUGUUUCAGAUUACAUGGUGGGACUGCAAAAAUGCUGUAUAGCCACUAUCUUCAUCAUUUACUAAAGCAGUUUUUAACAUAUGUGAAGUCACUUAGAGGUUGGUCACUUAUGUGUACAAACUCGAGAUUUGAAUAUGUGGUUUAUAGGUGUGCUGGUAUUUUUGAAAGCCUUUGUUUAGUUCAUGUGUUCAGGAGACUCCUGUGUCUGGCUACAUUAACAUGCAUUCCCAGAUUUGAAAAACAUGCUGUCAGUGAAACUUAGCACAAUUUAAAUUUUUUUGAAGCUAUUCCUUAAUGUCAAACUUAGAUGACAGAUUUUUUUAGACUUCUUGUAGAACUUUUGAAUUUUAGUUGAGAGGACAGAAAACUAGAUAGUUCUUUCUUUGUGGCUGUGCUUUGUUACAGGUAAGUAAGUAGACCCAGCAGCAUUCAAACAAUUUAUAGUCUUGACAGGUAUGGGAAAUAUUUUUGUAUUCCCUACACUAUUCUGUAUCGCUACAAGAGUACACUUUGGUUUUGCAUGAAUACAGUGUCUAAAAUUGUAUAUAUUAUAAAUAUACUGCUAUGCUGCCUUUUUCUUUUUUUCUUUUUUUUUUUUAAAGGUUUUGUAGAUUUUGGCAUGGAAAUACAAAGCCGUAAACUUUGCCUUUUGUUAUUUGCAGAUUUCAGUACUUGAUAAAUGUGUUUGUUAAACUUUCAGGAUUUUUUUUGUUAAUCAAAUAACAGGCUUUAAAGACACAGAAGCUUUUCAGCGCUUAAUCGUCAAAAUUCAUGUGGAUCCAAUCUUUGCACCAUGUAAGCACUUCACAACCUUAUUUGCAUUUUAGUUCUGCAUUUUGCACGUCAGAUUUGAUGCAGAGAGUGACCAAGGAACUUGCGAAAGAAACUCAGAUAUCUCGGACAAAGCAGGGAUUUGAACACAGUAUCAUUGCUAAAUUAUGCAUUUUUAUUCAUUAUGGAUUGUAUUUGAGAAAGUUCUGUGGUUUGAUCCCAAGACUGUCUUUUCUGAAUAAAACUUCUCUUCUUCCUCCGUCUAGAACUUGGAGAAGUGCUCAGUUCAAGUCAGUCCCAACAAUGCAGGUUUCUUCUUAGUUGGCAAAUGGUCAAACUGAAGUGGUCAUCAGUAGGCUUCGGACUUAGCAGUUACUGUGACUGGUCGUGCCUCUCAGCCUGUUUACAGGUGCAGAAAGGCUGUAUUGCCAUCAGCCAGUUCAGCUGUUGUCACAGCACUUUGAUAAGGAAAUAAUAAUUUUGAAAAUGCAUCAGACUGUUUUGCGUUCCUAACUUUAUGAACUUACUACUGUAGUGGAAACAAUAUGCAUGGACAGUUGCAAUAUGGGUACCCUACUGAAUAGGUUGGAGGGUGAUUGGCCAGUGUCUUACAGGAAAGUGAUACUAGAACAAAGUUUUACUUGUUUUCAUUUCUCUAUAGGCAAGCAAAUGUACACCUGGGACCACCAUGUUCAAGGGACAUCAAGAGGAAACGAAAGCCAGCUGCAACCUCCAUGUCCAGCCCAACAUCAGCAACUUUAUCUGUCCACAUGGAUGCAGCAGAGUCAGAGCUACCAGCAACACCGUCCCUGAGAUCCCAGAACUCUGAAUCGACAGGGAAAACACCAGCAGCCGAGAAAGCCACUAUUGCUGCCUCCAGUAACUUUUUUAAAAUGCCACCAGAGAAGAGCCCUGGAUACAGCUAAAAAGCAGCAUUGCAACUGUAAAAGCUUGGAUUUUGGAAGUGUUUGACUCUGUGUGUCUCCACCAAACAUCUUGUUUGGUGGUAGUGAUAAUCUUCAGUAUUGGCGCGUGAUGCCUGGCAUCAUCCAGACUGAUCUGUGUGCCCUACACACCUAAACCAUGUUUGUGAAUCUGUGUUUAAAAAAAAAAGGUAAUUGGUGUUGGGACCGCAGUAGCUUUUAAAAAUAUUCUUGCUAUUGUUGUAUUUAUUAUGCAUUCAUCUCUUUCCCUGCUGCCAGCUCAUAUAUGCUGGGUCUUGUACAGAUUCUUCUGGGUUUUCGGAUCUUUAUUCACCCCCUGGACAUGUUGCUUGUUUGUGCAUUUAGUGUUUUUUAGGCGAAAGUCCCCCUGCCGCUCAGGGAGGCAAAAGUCUCCCCCUGUUUUUUUGGCUGGGGAAUGAGGAGGGAAUGCAAACAAGUUGAAACAUGAAACCUGAAUUCUGCAUUAGCAGAAUGUUUUCAGGCCAUGUGCUAAUGGACUCAAAUCAUGUUGCUUCUAGUGAAGCAAAUACGGUGCUUGUCCAUUCAGAAAUUGCCAUUGGCUCCCUGGCAGCAUGAUCUGUUAGACCUUUUCCUUCUCCCUUGUUCUGAAUGUCUUUAGUCUUGCUUGUGUAUUGCAUGGUCUUUCCUAAAUCUCCUACUGGAUAAGGAAUUGGGAAAACUACUUGGACAUAAAUGUCCAAGCUGGUGUAUUCGAAGGGAACCUGGGCCCUUAAUAUCCUUGCAGUAUGGUAGAGGAUAUACAAAAUUCCAAUUUCUCAGUGUAUAAAUUACAAAAUGACUGUUAGCGUUUCUAAAGGAUCCUUGCCAUAGAAGUUAACAUGCCAUUGAACAAAAAAGCCAUUUAAAGUAUCACCUGAGUUCAGAAUAUUCUGGGUAUUGAUCAGACCACUUCUGUCUCAGUCCUUCCCUCCCUUCAGAAAGUAUUGUCUGCUCUCUCUUCUAGAGGUGUCUCCACCUACUGAUGAUUGUAUUUUGGAGCAUACACAAAAGAGAUUCUCUUCUCUUCAUAGCACUUCCACUUGUUCCCCUGUUAUUUUGUGUUGCAGAAUAUGGUGAUUUCUUCCCUCUCUUUUCUUGAAUUCUUGAUCGCACUCCCCUUACUUUUAAUUACUCUGUCUGAGGCUUAUUUUAAGCUAUGUUUUUAGAAUGUAUUCCUGCAUAGCUUGUGUCAAGGAACAGAUGGCCUCAUGGCUUCAGAAGUCCUUAAAAAGUAGGAUAUAUUUGUAUGCAUAGAACUUUUUUUGGUUUCUGUACUGGGUGGAGCUUUCAAACAAUAGCUUUUAAGCUUAUAAAUUUCAUUUUGAAUGUGGAGGUGCAGUUAGCACUUUUAAGUAGAUAAGAAAAUUUGCAUGGUUUUAGUGGUUUCAGAGUGUUCUGCUCUCCCUUAUCAUGAAAUAGCUGAGGGAAAGACUUGAGGUUGAGAAUAUAAAGCAGUGAUUUAUAUUUAACUCUCUAUUAAAAUGUUAAAUGCUCAUAACAUACACAAAAAUUGAAUGACUCGCUAAAUCAUGAUUGACAUAUAGUUAUACUAUAGACACACUGUCAGUGUCUCAUCCCCUAAAUACCUACUUAUUCUUGGGGAGACAUCUAAAUUGGAUUUAUAUUUCACAGCCCAAGCAAACUGCCAGAUCUGUCAUUGUAAAUCCCUCUCAAAACUGUUUUUUUUGGUGGUGGUACAUUUUUAGAACUAAUUAGAACAGGGAAAGCCUUUUUACCUUGCUGAAGGAGUACAGAGGUCUGUUUGGAUUAUGUAACAAGCUGUAAGGGUUUUGUGGAGAGAGGAGUGUUCCUGUUUUAAAGUAGUCAUUGAAUUGUCUUAUUUUGUAGGUAUUUUGAGCAGUGGUGCUUAAGAGGUGGCAGAGGAAGUCUUGGCACUGUACGGGCCUGGAGAUUACUGAAAUUACUGGAGGGUCUGUAAUUUAGAACAUUCAAAGAGAAGGUAAACCUGAGGAGUAGUAGCUUGACUAUCUAGUACUUAUGAACGCAGUGAAGGGGAAAGGUGGUCACAUUCUCCUGACAACCUGCAAAUAUAUUUUAGGAUUGGCAGCCUCAUAACCUAACUUUCAGGCUGCUUCAGUGACAGGGGGUGGUUCUCUAAAAUGUAUUUGUGCAAUUGAGUGGCUUUAUUCUCUGCAACCUCUCUUGGUUUGAGUCUUUUCAUUAAACUUCUUCAGAUUACUGAUCAUUUAGCUAAAAUUUUAAGUUUUGGCCUUUGUGUUCCGCUUUCUAAACCAGAUUCUGUUAUAUCCUGCUACAUUCUGAGUGUUGUUCAGAGUAGUUCUGUUUCUUCUGUGGUGUCAGGACAGUUUUAAAACUUUUAUAAGAGAGGUGUUUGGGAAUCUUCAUUGUGGCAGUGGAGGGGUUGCCAGGCUUCACAUGAUUUUCUCUAGGAGCAGGAAAGAUAACUUAUCAGAUUUUCCUAUUGGUGUCAGUAGCACUGUUCAUCUGGUUAAGCCCUUAUGAAGGUUCUGAGCUCCUAGGAGGUCUUCUUGUCUUUAAAGGUUGAAUGUACCUAUGGCAGUACUGAAGAGUAACUGUGGCAGGUCUUGCCUUGGUAAGCCAUACUUCCUGCCAUGGCAACUUUCUGGAAGUGCCAGGAGACUCAAGUUCUUGUAGUUGCCCUGUCUUUCCUGUUUCUAGGUUAGAAUCCAUUUACAGGUCAGUCAGGUUCUCAACCAAACUUGAUUUCUCCUGAGUGGCAGACAAGCUAAAUGAAUCAUGUACUUGUUACUCCAGGAUAUUUAUCAAAAUUUAUCUUCAGACUGAAGUAGCUUGAUACAGAUUUGAAUAUCUUCAGCAUUCUUAGAUGAACUACGUGCACUGUUCUGUCUCUUUUCCUCUAAGGCAGAUUCCUUAGAACACACAGUGUGCUCACAGUAUUUGCAGUGAAGGACACGGUGCUUCAGAUGUGGAUUACUUGAGUAGAAAGAAAUAAUAUCAUGCCUUGAUUUGGUAGCCAUACUUCUACUAAGGCGGUCCAGUAUGUGAUUAUUGCUUCAAAGAUACACAGCUCACUCAUAUUCUGCUUCUUGUCCACCAGGACUCCUCAGAAUUUUUCCAGGCUUGUCUUCUCUCUAAUUGUCUUCUCUUCUUGUCGUUAUCGAACACUUCAACUUCCCAGGUAUCAACUGGGAAUACCAUACUGAUGUGACAGGCAAGUCUGGGAAAUUCCUGAAGUAUGUUAAAGAUAAUUUCUUGUCUGGUGAAGGUAAUUUCCUGUAAGUACUCAGUGAGUCAACUAGGAAAGAUGCCCUUCUGGACUUGUUAUUUGUGAAUAGAGAAGGACUUGUGGGAGAUGUGAGUGUAGGUGGCUGUAUCGGCUGCAGAGAUCACAAAAUAGUUCAGUUUAAAAAUUUUGAUAUAAUGAGAAAAAUGGUCAGCACAGUUGCUACCCUGGAUUUCAAGAGAGCUAACUUUAAGCUACUAGUGAGCUAGUUAGCAGUGUCCCCUGCAGAUCUGCUUCUGAGGGCUUAGGGAUCCAUGAGUAAUGGUCAGUUUUUAAGAACCCCCUUUUAAAAGCUGGAGAGCAGGCAGUUGCUUUGUGUUGAAAGUCCAGCAAGCAGCACAGAAGACCAGGUUGGCUGAACAGGGCAUUCCUCUUGGAACUCAGGAGGAAAAAGAAAUUGUAUGGUCCUGGGAAGCAAGGUCAGGAUUUGCAGGAAGAUUAUAGAAUCAUAGAAUGGUUUGGGUUGGAAGGGACCUUUAAAGAUCAUCUAGUUCCAAUCCCUAUGCCAUGGGCAGGGACACCUUCCACUAGACCGAGUUUCUCAAAGCCCCAUCCAACCUGGCCUUGAACACUGCCAGGGAUGGGGCAGCCACAACUUUUUUGGUCAGCCUGUUCCAGUGGCUCACCACCGUCACAGUAAAUAACUUAUUCCUCAUAUCUAAUAUAAGUCUACCCUCUUUCAGUUUAAAGCCAUUUCCCCUUGUCCUAUCACUACACACAAUUGUAAAAAGUCCCUCUCCGGGUUUCUUGUAGGCCACUUUAUGCACUGGAAGCUGCCCUGAGGUCUUUCCAGAGCCUUCUCUUCUCCAGGCUGAACAAGCCCAACCCUCUGAGCCUGUAUUUGUACGAGAGGUGCCCCAGCCCUAUGAUCGUUUUUGUGGCCCUCCUCUGGCGGGCUGUGGUUUGCAUAUGCAGGGAGAAGACACAAAAGGCCAAAGCUUGGAGUUGGAACUGGCCAGUGUUGUAUCAGACAACAACAAAGGCUUUUUGAAGUACAUUAAUAGCAAGAGGAGGUCUAAGGAAAGCAUUGGACUGAUACUUGGUGAAGAUGGUCAUGUGAAAAAUUGGGAUGGAAAAAAGGUGGAGGCAUUCAAUGCUUUUUUUGCCUCAGUCUCUAAUAAUACUGACACAUCUUGGGCUGCCCAGUUCUCUGAGUUGGAGGACCACAAGUGUGGGAACAGUGACUUUCCAUUUGCGGACAGUGAAAUUGUAAGGGACCAGUUGUAUCAGCUGAAGUCCAUGAGGCUGAAUGGAAUUCAUCCCAGAGUGCUGAAGGAACUAGUGGAUGUUGCAACAAGACCCCUCUUAAUCAUCUACCAAAGGUCUUGGGGUCCUGGGAAGGUCCCUGCUGACUGGAAGCUAGUGAGUGUUGUUAUAGGCUAUAUGUUACAAUAAGGGCUUGAGAGAAGACCCAAGAAACUGCAGGCCUGUUAGUCUAAUUUCAGUACCUGGAAAAAUUACAGGGAAGAUCAUACUGGGUGCUACUGAAAGACAUUUAAAGGACAAUGCAGUCAUCAGGCACAGUCAGCAUGGGUUCACAAAGGGGAAGUUCUGUUUAACUAAUUUGAUACCCUUCUACGAUAAGGUCACCUGCCAAAGGGAUGAAGAGAAGGUGGUGGAUGCAGUUUUUCUGGAUUUUAGUAAGGCUUUUGAUACUGUCCCUCAUGGCAUCCUUCUGGACAAGUUGUCCAACUGAGAUGAGCAGGUACACAGUGUGCUGGGUGAACGGCAGGGCUCAAAAGAUUGUGGUGAAUGGGGCUAUGUCUGACUGGCAACCGAUCACAAGCAGUAUUCCUCAGGGUUCAAUUCUAGGAACAAUUCUAGUCAGUGUUUUUUUUAUCAAUGAUUUGGAUGCAGGAGUUGAAUGCACCAUUAGCAAGUUUGCUGACGAUAUCAAACUGGGAGGUACUUUUGUCCCUCUCAAGGGAGAAGAGGCUUUGCAGAGGGAUCUAGAUAGAUUAGAGCAUUAGGCUAUGAUUAAUGGGAGAUGAAAUCUAACAAGAAAAAAUGCUGGAUUCUGCACCUGGGAUGGAGUAAUGCUGGACACAAGGGAGAGAAGUGGCUGGAGAUCAGCCUUGCUGAAAGGGAUCUGGGAGUGCUGGUUGACAGCAGGCUCAAUAGAGCAGUGCACUCUGGCAGCCAAGAGGGCAAACAGUAUCCUGGGGUGCAUCAAACACAGUAUAACCAGCCGGUCAAAAGAGGUGAUUAUCCCACUGUAUUCACUGUUGGCCUCGCCUUGAGUGCUGUGCACAGCCCUGGGCGCUGCAAUUUCAGAAGGAUGUGUGAAUGUGUCCAGAGGAGGGCAAUAAGAUUGGUGAAGGGGCUGGAAGGCAUGUCCUAUGGGAAGAGGCUGAGGGCUCUGGGGUUGUUUAGUUUGGAGAAAUGACGCUGAGGAGUGACCUCAUUGCUCUCUACAGAUUCCUGAGGAGGGGAGGUGGAAAGUGAGGUGCUGAUCAUUUCUCCCUGUGUCCAGUGAUUGGAUACAUGGGAAUGCUUCAAAGCUGCACCAGGGGAGGUUCAGACUUGACAUUAGGAAACACUUUUAUUCAGGGAGGAUGGUCAAACACUGGAGCAGACUUCCUGGAGAGGUGGUCAAUGCCCCAUGACUGUCAGUGUUAAAGAGGCAUUUGGACAAUUCUCUUAAUAAUGUAAUUCACUUUUGGUCAGCCCUGAAAUGGUCAGGCAGUUGGACUAAUGAUCAUUGUAGGUCCCUUCAAACUGAACUGUUCUAUUCAUGAACUUAAUGAAGUUUCUGUCUUUAAAGGUCCCUCUGGGUGGAACCCCCACCCUCCAGCAUAUCAAUGUCUCCCCUCCCCAACAUCAUUUUAUUUCUGAUCUUGUUGAGAGUAUGUUCUGUCUCUUUCAACCAGAUCACUAAGGAUCACCGAACAGUAUCAAUUCCAGUAUUGUCUUUUUGGGCCAUGCUUUUCGUAGGUGACCAUCAUGCAGAUUUCAAACCAUUAAUCAUUAUUCCUGAAAGUUUCUCACUUACCGUUCUUACUGGGUGACAUCCAGUCCAGAGUCCAUAGCUCCCCCAUUUAGCGCAUAUACAUAUAUAUACACACACAUAUACAUACUGCAUCAAGAGGCUUACUGAAGUCAAUGUAUACAGCAUCCACUGCUCUAUAUACAUCCACAGAGCCUGCCAUUUCAUCACAGAAGGUAGUCAGGUUUGUAGGCAUGAUUUUCCCUUGUUUAAUCUGGUGGCCUGUUCCUAGUCACCUUCUUGUCCUUUGUAUUCCUGGAAAUGGCUUCCAGAACUUGCUCCAUAAAGCUACAAGGCACGAAGGUAGGGCUGACUAGCCUUUCAUUCCCCACAUCCUCCUUCCUGGCUUUUUAGAAAGGUGACAUGAUACAUACCCCUUCCUGUCACCAGGGACCUUGUGCAAUUGCCACAGCUUUUCACAGACAACAGAGACUAGUCUUAUAAUGAUGUACUUUCACAAAUGGGGUUUUAUUUGUUUACUGGGGGAAGAUGGACCUUCAGUAAAAGAGAAGUCAGGAGCUGCGAGAAGCACAUUUACUAGUUGUUCUUCACACAUUUCCAGUAAUUCUAGUGAGGCUUAAUGCCCAAUCUGGGAAGUAAUGGAGAAGUGCAGAUUAAAAGAAUGGAGUUUCUGGCCUGAUGGAUUUGUGAUUUUAAGGUAAGGUACAGUAAAGAUUGAAGAAGGCAACAAAAGAGUGGCGGGAAAGAAAGUUGUAAGAGACUGGGACUAGUACUACUGAAUGAUAGAUUAGCUUCAUGACUGUGGUAUGCAGAGGUGUGUCUUGCCAGCAUUCCUGAAUAAUGACAUUGAGUCCCUUAGUGCUGACCUUCCAACUGUAGAAGCUCAUGCUGUUGCUUUGUGGAUGUUGCAGAGACCUGCUCAGUGCACAGAGGAUGAGAAGGGAAAUUUGAGGAAGGGCAUCAAGAAGGGUGAAGUGUACCGCUCUUAUUGUAACCCUUUCUGUAAUGGAGAAACAAGAUGCUACAGAAAAUAAUGUGUGUGCCUGAAUAUCGAAAAGGAAUUCUAUAAAAUGGGUAAGAACUUUCUCUUGUCCUGAAGAACAGUUUUGUAAUCAGAGAACAUUUCAGUGAAGCAAAAGUGAAAAAUGCCACUAGUCAUUUGUUCAGAAAAUGUAUUUUAAUAGUCUGUUAGGAGACUAUAAAAGGAGGACAAACUUCUGUUCUCAUUGUGAUUCUGCAUUGCUGUGUCUUUGUCCCCUGCAUUCUAUUUCAGUUUGUGUUUUGUGCUUGAGACAUCCUGCUUUUGUACCAUCAAAUGUGGGGAAAAAUACGGUAAUGCUUCUUAAGGCAUAAAGUAUAAGGGACCACUUGCUAUACAAAGGCAAGGUAAGAUUAUCUUAACCCAUUAACUUUUACCCAGUACAAGGAUUAAACUUAACGUAGAGAACGUAAUAUCUUAAUUAUACCAAAGUGUUUAAUUCUUAAGAGAGUAAACUCUUAAGAGUGCUAUAGGCAAGUGCGGGGAGACUGGUACAUAAGGUCAUAGAAUCACAGAAUAAUUUGGGUUGGAAGGGACCUUCAAAGGUCAUCUAGUCCAACCCCCUGUAAUGAGCAGGGACAUCUUCAACUGGAUCGGGUUGCUCACAUCCAGGCUGGCCUUUUAUGUCUCCAGGGAAUGUGCAUGCCUGGCCUUCAGUCAGGUGACAUACAGACUGUUGUGGAGACAGACGGAACAUUCAACAUCCUUCUCAACUUCAGCAUGGGUAAAAUGCCUUCCCAACUGCAAACCCAGCCAUUAGUGUGACUCCAGCGAAUUGACAAAGAUACAUUAACUGGCAUAGUAGGAAAAGAGAAGUCUUGUGCCAAUUCAAAGAGUUGGUACAAAUGGAAAAUGGACUGGCACAGCCCGUUACAAGACAAUAAUGCAAAAUAUAUAUACCUGCAGACAGUAAUCAGAAAAAAAUUUGUUGAGCCCUGUGUUCAUGACCUAGAGUAUUCAUUGUCUUAAAGCUGCCAGUAUUAUGAGGAUCAUCAGGGUUUUGCAAAGCUGUCCUCUUUUCCUUGUAACCUCUGAAGGAAAUGGCAUGAAUAGCAUAAGAAAGGCUGUGCUGGGGCCCACCAAAGGUCUGUCUGGCUUGGUAGUCUGUUUCUCACAGUGGCUGGGUUUGGAUACAUAGGGGGCAUCCUUUGUCCUUAGUAAGGACAAAGUAUUUAUAUGGUGAUACUUUCCUUUGAUGUUCUCUUAGCCCAGUGUCCUGCCUCAAAAAGAUACACAAGGUCGUUCUUCAAGGCUGGAAAAAACUGUUGUGAACCUUUUGGCUAUAGUAUUUAUCCUGCAACUGGAUUUAAUUAUAUUUUUAGAAGGACAUGUAAUCUGACUUUAAAAACGUCAAGUAAGGAUUAGCUCAUCUUUCUCGGUAAUAAUUUUUCUUACUAAUUACCCUCUUCAUAAGGAAAUUGCAUCUUCUCUUGAUGAGAAGUCUUUUUCUUCCUUUACAAUUUAGGCUUCUUUGUCAUGUAUAACUACCUAUACCCAGUCAACAAAUCUUAUGUAAUCCACUAACCCGUGUAACUAAUUUUUCGUAAGCUUCACACUGUAAAACUUGUCAUUUAACCUUUAAUAAUGUAUUCCACAUCCAUCUGCAUUCAGCUCUAGUGUCUGUGCUUAAGAGUAUUCUUUACAGCAGCAGGAACACUUGCUUCCCUAUUGCUGUUCAGGCUCAUAUACUCAUAAAUCCAAACAUCAUGCUAGCCUUUGCUGCCCAAACACUGCUGUAACACUACCAUAAAAGUGAUAUUCAGGCACUUGACUCAAAAGCUAUAGUUCUUACCACUGCACAUGAUCCUAGAAAUAAUUUAUUUUAUUUUUUUUUUAAUUUAUUCCAAAAUGCACUGCAUUUCCUUUGGCUGAAUUGCAGUGCAGUUUUGGACUGACAGUUUUUGUAAGUUGGAAUACUUAAGAGCUCAGUCUGUGUAGUUUUAUCAGAAGAGGAUCAGAGUUGUCUUGCCUGUGUGGUAGACAGUUCUUUAUGGAAAUGGAAAUACUAGGUAAUAAAGUGUCUCUUGUCUUGUGCAGAUUGGCAUAAAAACGAACUUAAAGCUAAAGCCAAAUCAAUUCAAGUUAGAAAUGGGGUAUGAGAUUUUAACAAUGAGGACAGAUUAAUCAUUGGAACAAAGUACUGUGGAAAGCAGUAGCUUCUGUGUAUCUUCAAGCUUCAAUUUGUAGACAGCAGCUUUAUGGAAGGAAUGUUGUAGCCAAAUAUAAGCCAUUGAAAUAAAUAGGCAUCUAAAAGACAUUGAAUGGUCAGUUUUAUAGUGAAGUACAGUCUACAUGAAAUGAUAGCUCCUUCUAGUUUAGAAUCUCAGAGAAGACAGAAGACUUUUUCCAACAUGAUAGAGAUCUGUUGAAAAAAGCAAAGUGUUUUGGCAAACAUAGGGAAAAGUGAUGGUGAUGGAAGUUUUAUGGUAUUAACAAAAGAUUGUCAUGAAAUACGUAUGGGAAGGUGAGGUUAGAAAAAAAUUAUCUGUGCCAACUGACAUGAAGUGUCAUUUCUGCAUGCAAGUUUAUCUGUGAGUACUAUAAUGACAUAUGAAUGUACAGUCUUCAGAACCUACAUGAUCACUCAGUUGAGGAGCAUCCUUGGUGAGGAUUCCCCCUUUCUUGCUGUACUGGCAGCUAGAGUUCUGCUGCUUUGGGCUAGCGUUCCCUGUGUACACGUUCAGCUUUCAGUAGCUCUGUCUCAGUUCAUUCUCUCAGCUGUGUGAACUGCCUGUGCAUUGCACUGAAAUCAGAAACAAAUGAGGGAGAGCAUGAGUGGCCUUAUUACCUCGACAGGAUAAUUGCCAAAAAAAAUAUGCAAUAUCUUUUUUAAUCACUAUAGCUAUUGCUUCUGCUUUUCCCCCUCAUGGCAUGUAAGGAAGGAUGCCUGCUUGUAGUACAGCCCUUUUGGUAGCCUGUAGCCUUCACUAUCAUACCAAAGGAGUAGAUUGUAGGUUUCUCCAAAAGGAAGAGCUCUUCUGCACUCAUCUGAGAGGAGAUAAUGUGAUUAGAGGAAGCAGCUUUCUGGUACUGUGUUCUGUAACAUUAGGGAGUGAUGACUUGCUCAGCUUUUUCAACUUUAAAAUACAUUAUGCUAUACCUUUGUUUCAAAAUGAAUGUAAAAUUCCAUUGAUGGAGUAGUGCCACAUUUGAAUUGUUGCUUCAGAUCUUAAGAACUGGACAUAGUGUUAAAGUCCCAUGAUAGCAUUUGGUUUUGUUGCCCAGAUUGGUGUAUGCGAGAACUCAUUGCUGGAAGCUCUUGUAAGAGUGCCAUGAACUGAGACUGGUCUGGCCUUAGCAGAGCCCCUGGACACUGCUGAAGCCAAGGAAUUUUCUCUUGCAUUCAGCAACACUAGACAGCCAAAGCCACCAUCAGUUGCAUUCUAGCUUCUUCCUCCUGUCCCAGAGGACUAACUUAGAGAUAGUUAACAAACAGGUCUGCUCAAAAUCUUUAAGAGCUGCAUUGUGCAUGUCCCAAAUAUUUUAUGUGGUCAUAAGAUUUAACUGAUUGAUAGGGAUUGGACUUUGGGUUCUUAGGGCUCUGUUUUGGGGGUAACGUAUACAUAAGGAUUCUUGCUUGUAUUCCUUUGUCUUAAACGUGUAUUCUCUGAACAGCGCUCUUGCAGAAUCUUUGUUCUGAUACAGAAACUGGAAAUAAAUCAAAAUAUGAAAGAAGUGUUUUAUCUGACAUAAAGCAAACUGAGUCGAGAAUGGGAGAAGAGAGGUUUCAUGGACAUCUAACUAGAUUUACAGUACUGGAAUGUCCAUUAAUCUGCAUGCUUCCUUGACCGUUUCCUUAAGUAUAAACUGUAACCUGAAGGUCUAUAGGGAGUUACUAUGCUUUUCUCCCUUUGAAUUGCAAACUUGAGUGAAGGAUUUGAGGUAAUUUAUCAUGUCCAUUCUUCGGUUUUUGCAAUGAUUUUGUUUCCCAGUUUGUCGUGACAUUGUCUCUAGACAAGUGAGAUGCUCCCUGUUUGGAAUUUGAAACAAUUCUAGUUUUAUAAGUAGCCUUUCACCUCUGAGUCGCUGCUUUGGAUCUGCCCAGCCCCAAAAGGGAUUUCAUUUAAAUAAGCAGGUAAGUCUCAACUGAUAGUUUAAUGGAUAUCUAUUCAUUUGCCAACGCUAACAUCUUUUUAAGAUAGAUUGGCAUCAUUCUUUUGAAGCAGUGGCCUCAAAGAUCAAGUGAGCAGUGGACUUCAGAUUUUUUUCUGCAUAUAUAUGUGUCCCAGUGUUGAAAGUUAUGCACAUUUGUGAAAGGAACAAAAAAGGACUCCCUCUACAUUAACUGUUCCAAGGAAUAAAUCGUAAAAACUGGAUCCCAAGUUGAUUGUUUUUAAACAAAAAGAUCAAGCUCCUUCAGAAAUUCGCUAUAUUGGGGGGGUGGUGGUGGUUUCAAUUUUUAAAAGUGAUGAUUUUCCUCUCUCUCCUGCAAGUUACAUCUGUGAGAAUUGGGAAGUGUUCCUGGUGAACUGUGCUGAUUUUUGUUUGGAGCAAGGAGAAAAGUGCUUUUAACAAUAGAUUCUGUUAUGGGAAGUGCCCAGAUUUGGCAAACAUCAUCAAUUACGGGUAACAGUCAAAAGUGUCAGGUCUCUCAAAAUCAUGAUGAGCUGGUUCAGUCUUCCACCUACUUGCAUUUUUGGUUUUUUUUUUCUGAGUAAUGAAGCAUUUAAUUUGAUAAUUGGAGGCAUUUCUAUUAAAAAAAGCUGAAUGGU